ensembl:lncRNA
AAACUCCCUGCACAGAAAAGCCAAUGUAAUUAGCCCUGACAGGAUCUGCAGACUAGCAGCAGCAGCCGAGAGGCGGGAGGGGAGGGAAAAACAACCCAACAUCAUUUUAUAGGCAAAUGUAAAUGGGUCAUUAGCUGUCUUAGAACAAAAUGUUCCUUCCUGGGGAAGGCAGGGGACAGGCCUGGCUGGAGGAAAUGUUGCAGAAGGCCUGGCGAGGCUUCCUGUGAAAGCAGCUUUGCUGGGAUGCUGGAUGAAAAGGCUCUUGCUCUCACUGGAAGCAGAGCUCCUGAGAUUUUUGCCUUCCAGCAGGGUUAGGGUGGCAGGACACAGGUUCCUGUGGUACCUAAAGUCAGCUCUGAGCCUCUCAAGGUCACCUUCUCCAUCAGCAGAAGCAUCACCCUGCUCCAGGGUCUCCGGAACAGUUCCAAGCUGAAGGUUUUCCAGCUUAGGGAAAGUCCUGUGCCAGGUGCUGCACAGUCAUUGGGGAAGGCACAGAGUCCUCUCCAGGUGUGAGAGCUCAGCUGCAAGAAUGAGGGCAGUGGGAAGAAGAGGAGCAUUGCCUGCAGACCUUGUCCAGGAUCAAAUUCCACCCAAAUGAGAGAAUCACAGAAUCGUUUGGGUUGGAAGGGAGCUCAAAGCUCAUCCUGUGCCACUCCCUGCCAUGGGCAGGGACACAUUCCACUGUCCCAGGCUCCUCCAAGCCCCAUCCAAGCUGGCCUUGGACACUUGCAGGGAUCCAGGGGCAGCCACAGCUUCUCUGGGAAGCUUCCUCUGCAGAGAAGAAUUUCUGCCUGAGAGAACUGAACUCCUUGCAGUCCCAAGGGUUACUCCUGAAGCUCCCUGCAGAUGUUGCAUUUGCCACUUUAAAUUAUUUUGAUCCAAACCAAACAGCAAAAAUUGAAAAAAUUUUCCUGUUUGGGCUCCAUCAGAGGUCUCAGAUGAUUUACAGUUUGAUCCUGGCAGAUGAUUUCUAUUAUUUCCACCUUGGCUUCAGCCAGUUCAGGUCUUGGGUGACCCCUUUGAAUGACCACAGACUGCAAUGAGCCUUUGUGCGUGGGAUGUGCUUAGCAGCAAAGGAUGGGAUGCGCUUGAGGGGCUGGAGCACAGCUGGCAGGGAGAGGGGUUUUGUGAGACAACAACAAACCCUUCUUUUUGAUUGGAGUGUUUGUUCCUGGUCUCCCUGUGGAAGGUCUGAAAGCUCCAGUUGACUUCUUCUCCCAGAAGGGUGCAACAGCUGGAUCCAGGUCACUACCUCCUGUGGACCCUCUCUUAAUAAAUUCUUAAUUGACUCUUAAUACUCUGUAUGUUACUCAGCAGUGUUGUCACCAGGCUGUUUGCAAACCCCUGGCUCUGAGAACCUGUGGAGAGGGGUGGGGCAGAGCUCCCCUUUGUCAUGGCCAAGGGGAAGCAUCUGAAAUUUAGAGUAGGGAUAAAAUGAUCCCUCAGCAUUCCUGCACAAUGACAAACAGCAGAGUGGCAGAUGCCAAGCCUGGGUCUCUCUGUUUGACAGGCCAGACUGGGCCAGCACAAGACCCAAAUCCACAGCAGCCGGGAUGAAAAGUUUCCUGGACAGCUUUGUUAGCAUCCCGGCACUCAGUGAAGAACCUGGAUGCUUCCUCAUAUCUGAAACUUUCUGGGAAAUCUCCUGUGCUCCUCUAUCCUUUGCCCCAUUCCUGAAAGUGUCCAAGGCCAGGUUGGAUGGGGUUUGGAGCAACCUGGAGUACUGGGAGGAGUUCCACCCCAUGGCAGGGGGCUGGAAUGUUAAGGUCCCUUCCCCAGCCUUUCUGGGAACAUCAGGUUGGAGAAGAGGUGACUCAGAGCAAUCUGCAUUCAGGGAAAUCUUGCAGUGGGGGUAUUGCUGUGCUGGAUGGAGAGAUCCUGCUGCUGAGCUUGGAGUCCUUAAUGCAGGGCUGGGAAUUUAUCAGGGGUCUCUGGGAAUCAGGGACUGGGAUCCAAUGGCAGCUGGGAGGAUCUGAUGUAUAACUCAGGUAAGGUUUGCUGUGAAUGCCGGGAAACGUCCCUUUGUGUGUCCUCUGUGGAAAGGAGAUCAAUGUGGGCACAGAGGUGCAGCCUGCUGGGGAGUACAAGUGUACAAGUCUCAGGCAGCCUUUGAAACCUUCCUUCACCUGCUUUUCUGAGUUCUUGAUGCCUGAAGAUCUCAUUUUGAACAGAGUGGUUUAGUUCUCCCUCAGCUCUUUCCUCACCUCUGUUUUUUGCCUGGGGCGAGGCUCUCUUGGACAGUGGACUGGGCUGCUCAUUCUUCCUGUAGGUGUCCCUUGGUGAAGGCUUCAUUUGAAGGCAGUGCUUCAGAGGCAUCUCUGAGCUUUUAAACCCAGAGAAAACUUUCAUGGCAUUACUUCCCAUGGGCCAGCUCUGUGUCUGGGGAAUCAGAGGGAAUGGCUGCACACGCUUGCAGCUGUGGGUGUUAAGAGAAGCUUCAUUUUUCAAAAGCCUAGAAAAAGGGAUCCUCAGAGCCACCCCCACGGAGGGUGCACGAUGCACCCUCCAAUUCUUCCCCUCAUUUUCAGGAGGGACAAGAGCUGUGAGCUGGUUGCAAACGGCAGCACUCAGUUUCUUCUCCCCUUCUUGACACAUCCAGGGACUGAGCUGCUACUUCCAGACACCAUGGUGUGACAAACCCACUGUAGCCUCUUUGUACUGACUGCACCUCACUGUGAGUAAAAUUCAGUUUAAAAACACAGUGGUGACGUUGUGCUCCAAGCAGGAUCCUGCCCCUCCUGAUCUGAAGAUUAGCCUGCUGAUAUUUUGCUCUUGGAGGGGAGGUUUCCAGGAUGCCAUCCCUCUGAGCCUGCCCACAUGAAUCUGUGGUGUUUUGCUCUUUGGACUACAAACUUCUAGGAAUUUGUAGGUGGAAAUCUGACUUUUGCUGGUGUUCUCAGAGCCUGGUGCUGGUGCUGCUCCAGCUGGGUUCCUCUAGCAUGGGAACCUUGAGUUUGUUAACAGCUCUAGAGUCAACUGGGGAGCAGCUAUUGUUCUCAGAGCUUCUCACAUAUGUAUCACUUCAAGGUUUCCUCCUUCCAUUCAAAGUAUUUGGGGAUAGAGGAAUGAGGGAAGCAAGCUGCCAGUGUCUAAUGCAUGUUUCUUGGAGCAAAAUGUAUUGGUUUAUUUUGUUUUAAACAGCUUAUUGCAAAUGGGGAGCAGCUGUGGAUUUUGCGAUGACUUUUUUUGUUUUAGUUUUUGGAAACGUGGGGUCAUCUCCCUAGUAUUCCAUAGCAUGCUUGCUAUAGACAAAAAAAAAAUCUAAUUUUGAAGAAUUUCAAAGCAGUUCUUUAGACUUAAUCAAAUUCUUAAUUCCCUGAUCUAUUAAAGCCUAUUCAGUAAUCAGCCUGAUGAGAAGGAAUGUGGAGUUUCCUCAGGGCUCCCUCUUGGCUUGCCCUUCUGAGGCUGAAAUUAAGGCAGCCCACAGUCCCAUGCAGCAGAUCCCUGAUGGGGUUUGGGUAUCCGAGUCCCAGUCCCAAACACAGCAUUCUCAGGCACAGGGUGGGAUUCUGGGCACUGCCCUCUAAAGGGCCAGGGGUUGGACUCCAUGAACCUGGUGGGUUCCUUCCACCCAGGAUCUUGUGAUUCUGUUAGAUGGGCUGAGAGGCUCCAUCCCCAGAGGCAUUCCAUUGUCCCAGUGUCUUGUUUGAGCCUUGAGCCACACCUGAGUGCCUGAUCUGAUCAUCUCUUUGCAUCUUCUCCAAGGAACCUGGCCAGGGAGGAUUUGGGGAGAUACUUAAUAGUGCUGUGUUUUGGGUUUAAGCGCUUUUCUCCCUAAGAGCAGAUGGAAGAAUUGUUCCUGUUUGGAUCUCCUGAGUGUGUUGUACAGCCUUGGUAUAAGGUCGAGGAGGGAGCAGAAUUUCAGGGGAAACAUGAGGUCAGUGAGGCUUUGGCUCCAGCCUGACAAUUAAUUUCACAGAAUCCCAGGGUGGUUUGUGUUGGAAGGGACCUUAAAGCUCAUCCAUUCCACCCCCUGCCAUGGGCAGGGACACCUUCCAGUGUCCCAGGGCGCUUCAAACUGGCCUUGGGCAGUGCCAGGGAUCCAGGGGCAGCCACAGCUUCUCUGGGCACCCUGUGCCAGGGCCUGCCCACCCUGCCAGGGAGCAACUCCUUCCCAAUAUCUAUCUUUAUUGCUGCCGGAGUGGCUGAGUUCCCUGUGUCUGUGUGUACAGGUGGCCCCGAGGCACAUGGAUUUCAGCACAGCUCCAUGGAUACAGACAUCCCGUAACAAAGGAGCAGGCCCCGAGUGUUUUGGGGAAGGGAGAUAAUAAUAAGCCAGUUUGGCACAGCUCUUUCCUAAGCCUGGCCAGUCAACCCUAACAAUGUAAACAGCUCUUUCGGGGUGAAAUGUUGCUUUUCAGUUUCACAAAUCUGCUGGCUGAGCUCUCUGCCAAGGAGUGGUGUGAAUGAGGUGCCCUAUAUUUUCUUUCUCGCCUGUCCUGCCCUUUUCCUGCAAAAAGGAGAUAGCUUCUGGCUCUGCAGGGCUGGUCUGCAGCCUGGGCAGCAUCAGUGGUGCUGUGCUCCGCUGUCAGAGCUGCCCUGAGCACGGAGGUGUGGGAGCCACGUCCAGAAGGCUCCUGCAAGGAUCCUCCUGCAAGGAUCUUCCUGCAAGGAUCCUCCUGCAAGGAUCCUCCGGGACUUGCGCCAGUUCUCCUGGGGAGCGGGGGGUAGGGUAGUUUCCUUCCUGGGGUUAGUGUCAGCCCUCAUGAAUCCUCUGCCACCUUCAGCUCUGCCUGCACUCCCCAGCUCCCGGCCCUGAAGUUUGGAAAUGCCGACUUCUAACUCCUGACCUCCCACACUACUCCAAUUCCAAGAAACAAUGCCCUAAAUGUGCUGGCAGUGACAGCUCGCUGAUUCCUACAGCAUGGCUUGUUAAAAGAUCUAAACCUACUAAUAGGAAUUGGCUUGAUAAAAGGGAUUUUUUUUUAACCUCCUCACUUAGCGUGAGGAGGUUAGUGUACACUUAGUGUAGCACAUGCAGCCCAGAGAAUCUAGAAAUUAAAUUGGCUUUUUGUCAAGCCUCCUGUAUGCAACAGCAAUGGGACCCCUGCAGUGCAGUGCAGUGUUUCCAAUUACAUUUUGGGGUAUGUUGCUAAUUUUUGGCACACAGAGAGAAGCAGGCCAGGCAAAUGGCAGGUGGCAGGCUGUUUUCAUAUUUCACUAGGAGCAUGGGGGAAGGGAGAGGGGAGAAGGAGCCGAGCUCUCUGCCAGGAAAUGUGACCUCGCAGAGUGUGAGCAGAAGAGUUUUGGCAUGUGGUGGAGGAUGGAGGGCUGGGCAGGCAUGGCUGAGCCAGUUUACAUCCCCUCCUGCUGGGAAUACGCACGCAGGGAAGCAGGGCUAGAAUAAACACGCUCCAGCAGCGACAGCCCCCAGGUCUGGAUCUGGGCACCUCUGGGCCGUGUGUGGCUGCAGCCCGGCUGCUCUGUGGGACAGCGCUGUCACCGUGCUCCGCCUCUGCCGCCCCGCGCCCGCUCCUCUGCCCCCAGCACAACAACAAAACUGGCUUUGCUUCACUCAUUUGUUCCCAGCACAGCUAAUGCAUUCAGCAUGGCACCGCUCUGCAGGGCCUGGGUGGCUUCUCAGAGCUGUUGCACAAUCUGGGUGUGCACUGAGGGCAGCAGCGGCCAGAAGCUGCUUCCCAGGACCUGCAUCUGUCCCAGGGUGGCUUUGCCCAUCAGGACAGAGGCCUAGAGGUGAGAAUUCUAGGGGUCAGACCACCGAAUUGUUUGGUUGGAAGGGACCUUAAAGCUCAUCUUGUCCCAAACCCCUGCCAUGGGCAGGGACACCUUCAACUAUUCCCAGGCUGCUCCAAGCCCCAGUGUCCAGCCUGGCCUUGGACACUGCCAGGGAUCCCUGGGCAGCCACAGCUGCUCUGGGCACCCUGUGCCAGGGCCUGCCCACCCUCCCAGGGAACAAUCCCUUCCCAAUAUCUCAUCUAAUACUUGCCCUCCUUCAGCUCAAAUCCAUUUGCCCCUGUGCCCAGAAAUGCUGCUGUGUGUGACAAGAGCAGUCAGAACUAGUCUGUGCUCACAGGGACCGGGGCAAAACAUCCACCUCAACCCAAGGGAAUGUUAGCCAGGAGAACUUUUUGGGAAAAAGCCUCAGGAGUCAGAAUGGAGGCCUCUAAAUGCUUAAUUUACACAUCAAAUCCAAAAAUAAAAUGGUGGACACCAUGAAAGAGGGUUGUGAGAGAUCUUAUUCCGGGUCUAUCUGGAGGUGUAUUUGUGCUGAAGCUUGCAGAUAUGGUUCUUGUAACAAUUACUGAAUGUUGUUCUGAUUGCUAAAUGUUGUCCUGAUACUGAAUUUUGUUCCACAGCAAUGAUUUCACUGGUAAAACCCAAAAUCCCCUCAUUUUGAAAAGACCGUAAGGUGAGACUGGAGACAGCAAACAAAAUUUCCAGUAGAGUAAAACACUGGUGAGCUGGGCAUGAUGUCAGGAAGCCCUUUUGUAGUGCUUUUUGUAGGGGGCUGGGCAUGCUGAAGGUUUAUUUCAAGUUGGCUUUGCUGCUGUGUGCUGAGAUCUAUUGGCAGAGGUAAAUGUGGAAACAUUACAGUGGGAAAAGACCUCCCUCUAAGAUCCUCGAGUCCAGCUAAGAACCAUCAUGGUGACAAAGUUAGUUCUGGCUGACAGAAGACUUUAAAUCUCCUUCAUUUACUCUUCCCAGUGGUGGAGGCACCCCCCCAAAAAAACCCAAAAACCCAAACAUCUCUGCUCCCCCAUCCCUCUGUCUGUUCAGACACUGCCAUUGCAUCCCAUCCUCCUCCUCCUCCCCCUGCUGCUGUUUUGCCGCAGGGAUGAGCCCAGAUAUUUUUGGCACCAGAGCUAAUGUUCUUGAAAUGCCUUUGAGCUGAUAGCAAGCCAGCCAGUCAGGGACUUGUGAGAUCCUCAGCGACCUUGUUUCAGAAGAAAAUUGUCAGGGUUUCAACCUGUUAAUUUGCUUUCUUGCAACCUGCCUGAAGGGCUUGGGAAGCAGGGCCCUGGUCCGCUGAAAUCCUGGCAGUGUGCUUUCAGGAGGAGGUGCUGCCUGAGGACAUGGGGAUGGAUAUGAGUGCUGGGCUGUGCUGCUGCUAAUGGCAGUGGGGUGAGUGCAUCACUACCCCUGUGUUAAGCACUUGCUGCUCACAUGGCUGAAAUCAGGUGGCAGCCGUCAACCAAUUUGCCAUCAGACCUUCUACACUGUGAUGGCUAAAUCUGUGCUUGGUAGCAGCAGAGGUGCUUUUCUGACUCCACCUGAGGGAUGCUGGAGGAGAAGAUGGGUUUGACAUUUUUAAGACAUCGUCUCCUGGUGCAGUGUUGCUUUUCUCACUGAACAUUUUUCCGGAGUGUGUAGCCUGGAUUCUCCUUGCUUCAUUGUAUGGAGACACAGAAUGUUUAGUGAUUAGGUCUGAAUUAGCCCCAGGACAAGGUGCCUCUCAACUGGAAACAGAUGUGCAUGAUGGAAGGGAGAAUGGCUUUGGGUUGAAAAGUACCUCAAAGCUCAUCCUGUUCCACCCCUUGCCACAGGCAGGGACACCUUUCACUCUCCCAGGGUGCUCCAAGCUCCAUCCACCUAGCCUUGGGCACUGCCAGGGAUCCAGGGUGUCCUAGGUUAUAAUAUUGGGGUGUAUUCCAUUACCACCUGGAGCUGCAAUCCCUUUCUUUCCUUAUCUCGUGGCUCAGAGAUAAGUCCCUCCGGGAGGACCUGCUCUUUUAGCCAUAUGACUGAUAAGAUCACAGCGUUCUAUUGUGAGAUGCUCCGCCCACAGGGAGGAGCCAAACGAAUGCCAUCAAGGAUGUAAGUGGGGUUGUACAAACAGCAAGUAAAUCCCCUCUUCCAAGAGGAACAGCUGAGACCUUCUCUGCACUGGACCUCCAGAGGGAAACUCCAUCAGUCUGCAGGACCACUGCUUGGACAGAACCAUAUCUACUACCACCGCCCCAGCCAGCGAGUGUCAGGCUGUAUCUCUGACUCUGUCAGUAGUUCUUCUUUUAUGCUAUUGUAUGUAUUUGGUUCUUUGUUCCCUUUUUCCUAAUAAAUUGUAUUUCUGAC